GACCUUGUGGUGCAAGGGCAGUGCAUCUGACUCCCUAUCAAAAGGGUGUGUGUUCAAAUCACACCAGGUCA
rnacentral:tRNA from 1 species